GCCGGGUGUGGUGGCUCACACCUGUAAUCCCAGCACUUUGGGAGGCUGAGAUGGGUGGCUCACCUGAGGUCAGGAGUUUGAGACCAGCCUGGCCAACAUGGUGAAACCCUGUCUCUA
rnacentral:SRP_RNA from 1 species